UGGGAGGCCUGAGGCGUGAAGGCCCAGAGCCUGCUCAAGUUCUAGGAAGCCACUUCAACAUCCUUGUCACUGGACAGGUGAGGCCAGCCCGGGGGGGUGGGGCUGGGCAGGAGUGAGGGGGUGGGAGGGGGCAACAGCCACAGCCAGAGAGGCUCAGCCCAGGUCUCUCUCAAGCAGAGAAGUUUGGGUUCAUCCCCACAACCAUCACGCUGGGCACCGGAGCGGCUCAGCUGGGUGUGGGAUGGAGAAGCCCAUUUCUACUGGAGGACCAAGUAUGAAGAGGAGGGCUGCCGGCCUGCCCAGACCCUGGGCUACACUUUGGAGGAUGGUGGCUGGAGCCCCAACCUGCUGUCCUCAUCUGCAGCAAAGGCCCCAAAGGGGACUGCCGACCCUGAGCAGACAGAACUGCCUUCCCCACCCCCACAUCCGGCUGCCCAGGAUGCUGGAGUGUUUUCAGGUGAAGAAAAAAGCAUGAGAGGGGCUGGCCCGGUGGCGCAGCGGUUAAGUGUGCAGUUGUGCUUUGACGGCCCAGGGUUUGCUGGUUCGGA